rnacentral:rRNA from 1 species
UACGUAGGGGGCAAGCGUUGUCCGGAAUCAUUGGGCGUAAAGCGCGUGUAGGCGGCCAGAAAAGUCCGCUGUGAAAACUCGAGGCUCAACUUCGAGCUGUCGGUGGAAACUUUCUGGCUAGAGUCCGGAAGAGGAGAAUGGAAUUCCUGGUGUAGCGGUGAAAUGCGCAGAUAUCAGGAAGAACACCCGUGGCGAAGGCGGGUCUCUGGGCCACUACUGACGCUGAGAAGCGAAAGCAUGGGGAGCGAACAGG